rnacentral:lncRNA from 1 species
CACGUCAUUACAAACAUCUAACUCCCCAGACAUCAUAAGGGGUGUCAGAUUUUGUCUAAGAACACAUACCAUGAAAUCACCUAAUGUGAAAGAAUUACUAGAGAAUCCUCAAUUUCUUCAAAGUGGCUUGAAGGGAUCUAGAGUGAGUGCGAUGGAAGAUUUUGCCAACAGCUUUUGCGGUUGGAGUUGGGAGGAGAACAAGUUGUUUGAGCUAGCUUUGGCAGUGGUAGAUGAGCAACACCCUGAACGGUGGGAAGUGGUUGCAGCCAUGGUUGGAGGAGAAAAAAGUGCAGGAGAUGUUCAAGAACAUUACGUCAUCCUUCUCCAGGAUUUACUCGUUAUAGAAUCUGGAAAACUGGACCAUAAACUUGGGGAAGUUAUGCCUGUUGUCUUAGUUGAGAGCAAGGAGUCCAUAUGCUUGUCCCACGACGAUUCAACCAUGUAACUCCCUUUUAUUUGGUUGAACACCAUAUUCUUUUAGAAUGGAACCAACAAAUAUCUGUCAUGAAAUUUCUUGGUCUCGUGUUUCUGUUGAUCAAGCUGUUUGAUUGAUAUGUUGAUUCCAGCUUGGUCAUUCAAUUGGAAAUAAUAUGGUAAUUCAUUUAUGCUUCUCUUGUUCUUUUUUCUGUUUGCUUUACUACAAGUCUCACACACCUACCUCUUCAACUUUCUGUGUGGGUGUGCUUGAUUGUGUUCAAAUCUCUAUAGUGUAGCUGCUGCUUUUCGUUCUUCAUUGUUUCUAUGGAGCAACCAGGUUGUUCUUGAUGUUUGUUUCCCAUUUCAUUGUCUGAUUAGCUGGUUGAAUUAGGCCAAAACACACGUUUUGCUAGAUAAUCAGAUCCAUUUUAAGCUGCUUGGAAGUGAUAAAUAAUUCAAACAUGGAUAAAACCAAUCGUGAGAAAAGGUCACCGGGCAAGCAUUAAAAAAAGUUAGAACAGAGUAUAGUCCUUAAUUGGUUUAUCUGGUAGCAUUUCAAGUAGUGAAUUCAAAAAGUAACGUUUCAUAAAUACAAUGUUAUGUUUCUAAAAGAAAAGUCUGAUAUGAUUUCAGUGUCCAUCUAUAUAAACUGAAAUUUAUGUGCAUUAGAAUCCAGAAUGUGGCAUGACUUGAAUCUUUUAGAAUGUUCCAUACAUUCAUAGUUAUCGUAUCCGUAAACUGGGUUGAGAAUUCUUUCUUCACACACUCGUCAGAAAGCUAAAGAUCUCAACCUUUCUAUCAGUAUCCUGUCCAUAAUAAAGUUCCAUUAUAUAUAUAUGACUAUGGUCAUGCUUAUGGAAGCAAUUAUUGACCUUAAAAUAAUAAACAGACAUAAAAACAAUCACAACCAGAUAACUUUGAAUGUAUGGAACUGGACACUUGUGCAUGAACGAACACAUUAGCAGCAAUAAGAGCAAUCCAAAAGAGCUGAUGCAAUGAUCAAAAACGUUUUUGACAGUAAAUAAAUAAAGGAAGGAGAGAGGAUAAGAAAGAGGUAGAGCCAGGGAAGAGGCAGUGCAUGAGCGUGGCCACAACAGAUCUUUCUCUCUCUCUCUCUCUUUCUACUCUCAUUCUGACUUCACCAUUUUCUGUUGAUAGCUUCAUUCGUGCUCUGCAUCUUCCCAGCCUUUGUUUGUUCUAUCUCUUCUCUUUCACUCCCUCAAACUUUGGAAGGACUAACUUACCUCUAUCCUCUCCAAAUUGGGUUUGCACAUUACUUUUUCAUACAUCUCUAUAUGUAAUACUGGUAAUUAUAAUAACAAAAAGUGUACCACAGAGAGAGGAAUGAAUGGUUUGCAGUACAAGCAUGUACUAACAAAUUUCAGUCCAACGCUGCCAUGUACUACUUCAUGAUAUUGGUAGUACACUCAUGCUAAAGUGAAAAAGAAACUUCGGGGAGACCUCGUGUCAGCUUUUACCUUCCACCCUGUGCUACUCAACGCAUCCAUUGGGUUAAGAA